GUGUGUGUAGCCAGUACAUGUAUUUUUUAAAAGAGGACGUACGGGAGCCAGCAUCAAAGACAAGAUGGCAUUUGUUAAAGGGAGAAGCUGUACCUGUUUUGUUUAAAUGGAACAAUUACUCUCUCGCCCCAUCAAGACCAAGUGUUUGGAAGAGAAAACCAAGACCACCCGAGGAAGAGACAGCCAGUGGCGUUGACACAGCUGACCAAGACAACGUCCUGACCGACCAUGACUAUGACAUGCGUCCUCAUCACACAGCACUCGAAUAAAACAUAACUCUGCGAGAGGAAAUCGGUCAUCUGAGGAGACAACAGGUGGAGAAUCUGACUUUAAAUCAAAGGUUCGGCAUUCAGAUAAAGACAUGAGAUUUCUUCACUUGGCUCACUCCGAGAGGCCCCUUACCUGAGGAAUAUUCUGGCCAUACCCUGCAGCCCAUUGACGAGUGAUUCAUGUUCCUGAACUACCUGGCAACGGGAGCCGAGCGGUGAGACCUGACUGACCGUUACGGAGUCCACCAGGCAGCCGUCAGCCGGGUCAUUAUUUCAUGGAGCAACUUUUUAUAUGCAGUACUAGGUUCAGUGAGGAUUUGGAUACCCCAGAAGCAGAUUCGCAAACAUAUGCCAGCUGUUUUUGAGAAUUACGCUGAAACUAUCGUCAUCCUUGACUGCAUUGAGUUGAGGUGUCAAAGCCCUUCUUCCCCUCUUCUUCAGAGUGACGUUUUUGUCACACCGCGAGUCACACUAUGGUCUGAAAGGGCUCAUUGGAGUAGCUCCACAUGAGGCAGUCACAUUUGUAUCUGCACUGUUCAGGGAAUCGAUAAGUAACAAACAAAUUGUGCGUCAGUCUGGUCUCAUAUCCCUGUUAAAACCUGAGAUGGCUGUCAUGGUUGAGAAAGCUUUUCUCAUAGAUGACAUUGUAGCGUGUAAGAUUUAUAGACCGGCCUUUCUAUCUGGGAACUCUCAAAUGCCAUCAGGUGAUGUUGAGGAGCCCUCGGCAAUAGCACAUCUCAGGGUGCCUGUGGACCGUUGCGUUCGACAGGUAAAGGAGCACACGUCAUUUGAAUCUGAGAUUCCACGAGGACUUGAUGGCAGCAUGAAUCAAAUGUACACUGUGGCAUGUCUGCUGACGAAUUACAAGAAUGGACCUCUUGUUAAAGCACCGGCAAAGACAAGUUAGGAGCUUGACACUCUGGCCCCGCUUACUCCUGUUGUUUGUAAUGAUUGUAAUGUAUUAAAGUUUUUGAUGUUU